rnacentral:sRNA from 1 species
AGCUGGGUCCUGAAAGAGCUAGCCCAAGCAGUAGACCUGUUUCCUUUUCCCAGUCUCAUGUUUGACGAUGUAAUCCCUGUUCAUUACUACUUAAUACCUCCACCAACAAAGACUAAGAAUGGCAGCAAAGAUAAGGAAAAAGAUUCAGAAAAAGAGAAAGAUUUAAAAGAAGAGUUUACUGAAGCAUUACGAGAUCUUAAAAUUCAGUGGAUGACAAAGCUGGAUUCUAGUGACAUUUAUAACGAAUUGAAAGAAACAUAUCCUAAUUAUCUUCCUCUGUAUGUUGCACGACUUCAUCAAUUGGAUGCUGAAAAGGAACGAAUGAAAAGACUUAAUGAAAUUGUUGAUGCGGCAAAUGCUGUUAUUUCUCAUAUAGAUCAAACAGCCCUAGCAGUUUAUAUUGCAAUGAAGACUGAUCCCAGGCCUGAUGCAGCUACUAUAAAAAAUGACAUGGACAAACAAAAAUCCACCCUCGUAGAUGCCCUUUGUAGGAAAGGUUGUGCCCUGGCAGACCAUCUUCUUCACACCCAGGCUCAAGAUGGAGCCAUUUCCACUGAUGCAGAAGGGAAGGAGGAGGAAGGAGAAAGUCCUUUGGAUUCUCUGGCAGAAACGUUUUGGGAAACUACUAAAUGGACUGAUCUCUUUGACAAUAAGGUUUUGACAUUUGCAUAUAAACAUGCAUUAGUAAAUAAAAUGUAUGGGAGAGGCCUUAAAUUUGCAACUAAACUUGUGGAAGAAAAACCAACAAAAGAAAACUGGAAAAAUUGUAUUCAACUGAUGAAGUUACUUGGAUGGACCCAUUGUGCAUCUUUUACUGAAAACUGGCUCCCCAUCAUGUAUCCUCCCGAUUAUUGCGUAUUCUAAAAUAGGAAACAAGACUUUAAAUUUUAAAAAAGGAAGUUUUAUAGUAA